UUGGAGAGAAUUUCAAGGGGGAUUUCAUCAAGCAUCAAAGAUUCGACGCGCGAAGAGGUCGAUUCAAGAGGAAAGGGCAUUGCGGACUAGUCUACGGCCGGUUAAAGAUCCAGGGUAGUCUCAGGCUCAGUAGAUCCAGUUGAU